rnacentral:rRNA from 1 species
UGCCAGCAGCCGCGGUAAUACGUAGGGUGCAAGCGUUAAUCGGAAUUACUGGGCGUAAAGCGUGCGCAGGCGGUUUUGUAAGUCUGUCGUGAAAGCCCCGGGCUCAACCUGGGAAUUGCGAUGGAGACUGCAAGGCUUGAAUCUGGCAGAGGGGGGUAGAAUUCCACGUGUAGCAGUGAAAUGCGUAGAGAUGUG